UUCCAUGAAGGACUGGCAGCUGUUCGAAAUCUAAAGACUCCGGGGAUGCGAUUUUGGAUUUCUUCGUACGGAUAUUUGCCGGAGUCAGUGCCAAGAAGACAACCCAUGAGGGCAACUGACUCCGCCUCUUCUGGUCAGAGCUCCAUAAAGGAUGGAACGUAUCUACAUUCUAUAAGCACAGCGCUGCCGCUCCUGCCUACCUUCAACUUGAUACCCCCAAGGAAUAUGUCUUCAAAUUCUUCUAAUCCAAAGGAUUCAUCACUGGAGCAGAACAGCUAAAGAAGAUGUCAAGUUUGCUGUUUAAGUUCAAGAAUAAAAUCUGUGUGCAAGCAAACUCCUAGCUGUAUAUUGUGCAACUCAGAAGCCCAAAUGCAACUAUAUAUUGUAAAAGGAAAAGAAGAAAAUGAUAAAGAGUUGCGGUAUCAAGACGGCCACCCCAUAUAAUUGGAUGCAUCAAAAAAUCGAAAACCAUGCAAUUAUUGCAGAGUUGUCUCUGCAGACGGAAGUUCAAAACAAAACUCCCAAAAAUUGCAGAGCUUCUGGCUUUCAGUACCAGGUGGAAGGACACUGGAAGUGACAUCAGUGGUGUUCUAGCUGUCAAUCAUCCACUCUGCAGUGGGAGAAAGACAGAAAGAUGUUAAGACGCAGCGCCGACCCCUGGUGUGAUGGGGGAAUUAUAGUCAAGAGCCCUUCAGCUAUCCCCUGUGAGUAUGUGUGAGACUAUAUACUACACUGCCCCAUUGCUAGCUGAGACCCAUAGGGGCCAGUGGCCCUUCCUGUGAGGGCAGGUGUCCCACGAAGCGGGUCCUACUUGCACCUUCCCAGGGUCCGGUCCUGCAACACAAAGAGCAGAAACAGGGGCAGAGACGCUGCCUGGACACCACCACUCGCAUCCUUCCGUGUUGCACACAGGCAACGUUCCCCCCUCCGACCAGCACCCCGGCAUGUGCCACUUCAGCAACCCCUCCAAGGUCUCUGCGCCCCCCAGAUUGGAAAAUCAGACGGGACCGCCUGCACCCCUGUCGCCUCAGCCGACUUCGGGGUUUCCUUCUGCCUCAUCAGAGAACGGCCCUUCUCAAGAUAUGAGCUCCCAGCCUCACAUCCCUCUCUAUUGGAUGAGCCAGCUCUCUUCCUUCGGGUCCUCCUCUUUUUCUGAAAUGCCAUGAUGGUUUGGGUCUCCCUAUGGGAAAGGAAGACACCCCAUGCUGUCUGCGUCCCUGUAGAGCAACAUGAGACCGACACUGGCUUGGGACAUAGGGCAUUAGGACCUACCUUGCUCUUUCCCCCCUCACCACCAGAUCGGUCACCACCACCGCAUCCACUAUCCGAGCCCCCACUACUUGAAUCCGAUCAGUCAUAUCACGGUUCUUUUCAUUGGGGUUUCACUUUUUCUUUACAGGGCUGGUUCCACUUACCUGCCCUGUCGUGCCGCUCUGGUUGGAGUAUCCAGCGCCGCAUCAUUCCGCCCACUAAUGCAGCGUCUUCACGGACGCGACCGCCUUCCCCUCCAGCUUCUUCAAUUCCUCCCAGAGGGCAUGUAUCACCUGUAAUAGUGACUCUGCCAGCUGAUGGCCCUCCUCCAGCUCACGCAGAGCAGCCAGCAAGCACAGACAGUCAGCCGGCAGUGGACUUACCUGUCGAUCAGCCCUACUCACCGGCUGCCUACCAUGGGGCCGUCUCCUCGGCCCAAUCGGGUCCUUCCCCGGCUCAAUCAUUGGCCGGUACGCACACCAUUCAAUCCCUUGCCUGCCUCAGGGAAGGACUUUCAGUCCUCGGCCAUCUUGCUUCCCAUGCUCCUGGUGCGGUGGCGAGCCUCCGGGCAGCUCCGCAGCUGCAGCGGCCGUCCGAGCUGCAGCGACUCCUACUCAACAGCUCUUCCUGCUGCUGCCACGCCGAUAAAGCCCCGCGGAUCAACACAUCUUCUGCCACCGACGCGGAUCCGGGCAGUCCCUGCCUGCAACACAAGAAACAAGUCCAACCCCCUAGGGCCGACUGCCGUUGAGCAGGGAACUUACUCCUGGGUCCCGUUUGUCCGAGGCGACUUCCCCAGCAUGGCCUUACUAGACACGAUACCGUCCCGGGCGUACUCAGCGGCGGCACGCUCAUAGAAGCCUGCUGCACUCCUGCUACACCUGAUGUUAUUUUCCCACACCAGGUGGGAAUGGCCCUUCUGCGAACAGGUGGUGGUCCGUUGGGUGAGUCAAUCCCACGGGGUUGUGUGUAUACCACUCCCGCAGUGUGUGUGUGGGCUGACCCGCUGCAACGGGUUGUCCACAAAAUUAUUUUUAGAGACUGGUAUCUGCCAUGAACCAGGCAUAUAGUAUCAUCUGGGAUGCCAUUGUGGGAGGUUUCCUGAACACAGAUAGGUGGACACUGAAGGUUCAACCACCAACACACAUUUAUUCAUAUUUUUCAUAUUUACAGUGCACACAACCCAGUACUCCAUACCAAAUCACCCACAGUCCAGGCCUUUCACAAUGCCUUUCUCUGUCUUCCUGACUGGCUCCACUCCUCUACUCUGAGCUCCAUCCUCUUCCACCUGACUCCAGCCAUCGAAUGGAGGGAGGUGGCCCCUUUUAUGCUCACCUGGAUG